rnacentral:rRNA from 1 species
UACGUAGGGAGCAAGCGUUGUUCGGAAUUACUGGGCGUAAAGCGCACGUAGGCGGCUUUCUAAGUCGGAGGUGAAAUCCUGGAGCUCAACUCCAGAACUGCCUUCGAUACUGGAGAGCUUGAGUCCGGGAGAGGUGAGUGGAACUGCGAGUGUAGAGGUGAAAUUCGUAGAUAUCUGGAGGAACACCGGUGGCGAAGGCGGCAUCCUGGACCGGCAUUGACGCUGAGGCACGAAAGCCAGGGGAGCGAACGGG